rnacentral:rRNA from 1 species
ACGGUCCUAAGGUAGCGAAAUUCCUUGUCGGGUAAGUUCCGACCCGCACGAAAGGCGUAAUGAUUUGAGCGCUGUCUCGACAAUGCAUCCGGUGAAAUUGAAGUACCAGUGAAGAUGCUGGUUACCUGCGCCAGGACGGAAAGACCCCAUGGAGCUUUACUCCAGUUUGGUACUGGGAUCCGGUACUGCAUGUACAGGAUAGGUGGGAGGCUGAGAAUCGGUAACGCCAGUUGCCGAGGAGCCGCUGUUGGGAUACCACCCUUGCAGUAUUGGGUUUCUAACCAGCCGCCGUGACCCGGCGGUGGGACAAUGCCAGACGGGGAGUUUGACUGGGGCGGUCGCCUCCGAAAGGGUAUCGGAGGCGCCCAAAGGUUCCCUCAGAAUGGACGGAAACCAUUCGAAGAGUGCAAAGGCAGAAGGGAGCUUGACUGCGACACCGACGGGUGGAGCAGGUACGAAAGUAGGGCUUAGUGAUCCGGUGGUAUUAAGUGGGAAUGCCAUCGCUCAACGGAUAAAAGCUACCCUGGGGAUAACAGGCUUAUCACUCCCAAGAGUUCACAUCGACGGAGUGGUUUGGCACCUCGAUGUCGGCUCAUCGCAUCCUGGGGCUGUAGUAGGUCCCAAGGGUUGGGCUGUUCGCCCAUUAAAGCGGUACGCGAGCUGGGUUCAGAACGUCGUGAGACAGUUCGGUCCCUAUCCGGCGUGGGCGUAGGAUAUCUGAGAGGAGCUGUCCUUAGUACGAGAGGACCGGGAUGGACGGGCCGCUGGUGCACCGGUUAGACUGCCAAGUCUAUAGCCGGGUAGCCAAGCCCGGAAGGGAUAAACGCUGAAGGCAUCUAAGCGUGAAGCCCCCCUCAAGAUGAGAUAUCCCAUAACGUCAAGUUAGUAAGACCCCUUGAAGACGACGAGGUAGAUAGGGCAGAGGUGGAAGUGUGGCAACACAUGGAGCUGACUGUUACUAAUCGGGUGAGGGCUUGACCAA